GGCAGUUGGAAGGAGUUGGUUAGCAAGAAAAAGUUGGAAGUAGGGCCCCAAAGAGCCGCCAAACCUACAUAAUUCUAGAUUUAGAGAAAGUUAGGCAUUCGAUCUUAAGACUAAGUCUAGCCCACUCACUUUAGUUAGUGGCUGGGAUGAGACAGGAAGCUCCUGACUUCUGGAUCAGUCUUCUGUCAUCUAAUCCAUGCUGAGUCCCCUCAGUAUUGUCUGCUGGGAUGAUUCAGGGAGCAAAACUUGCUAUGAGUAUACAAACAGCAAGCGCACAAAAUCAGAUUCGCCUGGCUUGCCCUGUUUGCAAUACUUUUUUUAGCUUAUCUUUUGUGAACAAACUUUAGAUUCAAAUAACAAAACGCCUGAGUAUACUUACUUUUAUAGGACAAAUAACUCCUAUACUUCCUGCCUUAGCAUUUACCUUAGGUGAGACAGUAGCUUUUCCAGGAAAUAUCUGCAAAUCACUUUCACUAGCCUGCCUCUUCAGUGAGUUUCCACUAUUGCCCUUUGAGACCUCUCCGAACAAUUAAAAGCCCCCAAGAGACUCAAGGGUUAAACUCAAGGGCCUUUAGAUAGCAAAUUCCUCAAGGAUGGGAACCAGGUGUGUGACUUGCGACCAAAUAGGUUCUUGUGGUUCUUAGGGACCACCAAAAGAUCACUCCUUACCUCUCCCUAGGGUGCAAGAAUUAUCCUGGUUAUUGUUCAGCCUACCACAUCAGGUUGCAGGCAUAGUCAAAGUAUUACGUAAUACUUCCCAUGAAGUAGGUAAGAAAAAAAAGUAUUAUGUAAAUUCCUACAUAGUACACUAAUCAAAUGAAAUUAUAUAACACACUUUUGCAACUGAAAGUGAAGGAUUCACUGUUGUUGGUCAGGUGCCAGACACUGGUGUGAAAUUCUUUUACAUGACUGUCUCUUUUAAUGGUUACAAAAACCCUCUGGGAUAAAUACUAUUAUUGACCCUUUAAAAAAAAUCGAUGAAUAAGACAGCUUAAAAAGAGGUAAGUAAUUUCCCCAAUGUAACAAAACUAGGAAGUGGCAGAGCAGUGACCAAACCCAAAUAUAUGUUUGACUCCAAAAGCCUUGAUUUUAUCCUAUCUUCUGCAACAGCAAACAGACCAAAAAUUGCAACAUUUUAGUUGGGUAUCCUAUUAGUAAAUAUUUAAGUGAAAGAUAACAGUCAAGGCUGGUGAGAUAAAAAGGGUACUCUCAGACAUGGUGAGUGGGAGUGUAAACUGAAAUAAUCUCUUUAUAAAGCUAUUUGGCACUGUGAUUCAACCCCUAAGAACUUUCAUGGCAGGGCAUGGUGGCUCAUGCCUGUAAUCCCCGCACUUCCUGGGAGGCUGAGGCGGGCAGAGCAUGAGGUCAGGAGACCGAGACUAUCCUGGCCAACAUGGUGAAACCCCGUCUCUACUGAAAAUACAAACCUCAGCUGGGUGUGGUGGCACACGCCUGUAAUCCCAG
rnacentral:lncRNA from 1 species